GGGUAGGGAGAGAGAGAUGAUGGGAGAGAGAGGGAGGGAUACCGGGAGGAAGGAGCAGGGAGAGAGAGAUGAUGGGAGAGAGAGGGAGGGAUACCGGGAGGAAGGAGCAGGGAGAGAGAGGUGAUGGGAGAGAGAGGGAGGGAUACCGGGAGGAAGGAGCAGGGAGAGAGAGGGAGGGAUACCGGGAGGAAGGGGCAGGGAGAGAGAGGUGAUGGGAGAGAGAGGGAGGGAUACCGGGAGGAAGGAGCAGGGAGAGAGAAGGCAGAAGAAAGAGAGGGAGGGAUACAGAGAGAGAGAGGGAGCGAGAGAAAUACAGGGAGAGAGAGGGAGAUACAGGGAGAGAUACAGGGAGAGAUACAGGGAGAGAUACAGGGAGAAAGGGGCAGGGAGAGAAAAGGGCAGGGAGAGA
ensembl:lncRNA